UGAAGAUGUGGCUUCUUUGCAAUUUACUUGUGUUGGACAUGGUGGAGGACGGAAAUGUGGUAGUAUAGUUGAUACCGUAAUACUAAUCAAUCCCUGUUUCAAGCAAAAUAACAUGGUAACUUGAUUAACAAGUAAUGCAAUACUAUGUAGUAUUAAAACGAAAACACUAAUGUUUCAAAUCAUUUAUUUCAAUUGACACUAAUGAUUAUAUUACAGUUGUUCCAGUGGGAUUCGAACUCUGUCCUUUUAAGUUAUAAAGUCAAACCCUAACCACUGAUCUGAAACCAUUUAUUUGGAUUUAAAAGAUUGGACAAAUAAAGUAGUCUUCGCGACAUCACCACAUACAAGUAGAAAAUGACAUUCUAAGAAUGGGACUUUAUUGUAUUUAAAUUAGUUUUUGAUCUUGAGGUUCAUAGUGUAAUCAAAUACAG
rnacentral:lncRNA from 1 species